GCCUCCGUGGUGUAAUGAUCAGCACGCUCGGUUUGUAUUCGAUAGGUCCGUGGUUCGAAUCCUGACGAGGGCA
rnacentral:tRNA from 1 species